rnacentral:rRNA from 1 species
UACGUAGGGACCAAGCGUUGUUCGGAUUUACUGGGCGUAAAGGGCGCGUAGGCGGCAAUUCAAGUCAGCUGUGAAAUCUCCGGGCUUAACUCGGAACGGUCAGCUGAUACUGCUUUGCUAGAGUGCAGAAGGGGCAAUCGGAAUUCUUGGUGUAGCGGUGAAAUGCGUAGAUAUCUGGAGGAACACCGGUGGCGAAGGCGGCAUCCUGGACCGGUAUUGACGCUGAGGUGCGAAAGCGUGGGGAGCAAACAGG